rnacentral:rRNA from 1 species
CCUACGGGAGGCAGCAGUGGGGAAUAUUGCACAAUGGGGGAAACUCUGAUGCAGCGACGCCGCGUGAGUGAAGAAGUAAUUAGUUAUGUAAAGCUCUAUCAGCAGGGAAGAAAAUGACGGUACCAAAGGAAUAAGCCCCGGCUAACUACGUGCCAGCAGCCGCGGUAAUACGUAGGGGGCAAGCGUUGUUCGGAAUGACUGGGCGUUAAGGGUGUGUAGGUGGUUUGAUAAGUUAGGUGUGUAAUACCCAGGGCUUAACUCGGGUGCUGCAUCUAAAACUGUUAGACUUGAGUACUGGAGAGGAUAGUGGAAUUCCUAGUGUAGCGGUGGAAUGCGUAGAUAUUAGGAGGAACAUCAGUGGCGAAGGCGACUAUCUGGACAGCAACUGACACUGAGGCACGAAAGCGUGGGGAGCAAACAGGAUUAGAUACCCGUGUAGUC